AUUGAACGCUGGCGGCAUGCCUUACACAUGCAAGUCGAACGGUAACGGGCCUUCGGGUGCCGACGAGUGGCGAACGGGUGAGUAAUACAUCGGAACGUGCCCGAUCGUGGGGGAUAACGAGGCGAAAGCUUUGCUAAUACCGCAUACGAUCUACGGAUGAAAGCAGGGGACCGCAAGGCCUUGCGCGGACGGAGCGGCCGAUGGCCGAUUAGGUAGUUGGUGGGAUAAAAGCUUACCAAGCCGACGAUCUGUAGCUGGUCUGAGAGGAUGAUCAGCCACACUGGGGCUGAGACACGGCCCAGACUCCUACGGGAGGCAGCAGUGGGGAAUUUUGGACAAUGGGCGCAAGCCUGAUCCAGCCAUGCCGCGUGCAGGAUGAAGGCCUUCGGGUUGUAAACUGCUUUUGUACGGAACGAAAAGCCUUCUUUUAAUACAGGAGGGUCAUGACGGUACCGUAAGAAUAAGCACCGGCUAACUACGUG
rnacentral:rRNA from 1 species